GUUAGCGGCGGACGGGUGAGUAACACGUGGGCAACCUACCUAUAAGACUGGGAUAACCUCGGGAAACCGGAGCUAAUACCGGAUGGCAUAAAGGGACUCCUGUUCCUUUAUUGAAAGAUGGCUUCGGCUAUCACUUACAGAUGGGCCCGCGGCGCAUUAGCUAGUUGGUGAGGUAACGGCUCACCAAGGCGACGAUGCGUAGCCGACCUGAGAGGGUGAUCGGCCACACUGGGACUGAGACACGGCCCAGACUCCUACGGGAGGCAGCAGUAGGGAAUCUUCCGCAAUGGACGAAAGUCUGACGGAGCAACGCCGCGUGAACGAUGAAGGCCUUCGGGUCGUAAAGUUCUGUUGUUAGGGAAGAACAAGUGCUAGUUAAAUAAGCUGGCACCUUGACGGUACCUAACCAGAAAGC
rnacentral:rRNA from 1 species